rnacentral:rRNA from 1 species
GGAAUUUUCCGCAAUGGGCGAAAGCCUGACGGAGCAACGCCGCGUGAGGGAUGAAGGCCUCUGGGCUGUAAACCUCUUUUAUCAAGGAAGAAGAUCUGACGGUACUUGAUGAAUAAGCCACGGCUAAUUCCGUGCCAGCAGCCGCGGUAAUACGGGAGUGGCAAGCGUUAUCCGGAAUUAUUGGGCGUAAAGCGUCCGCAGGCGGUCUUGUAAGUCUGUCGUUAAAGCGUGGAGCUUAACUCCAUUUCAGCGAUGGAAACUGUAAGACUAGAGUGUGGUAGGGGCAGAGGGAAUUCCCGGUGUAGCGGUGAAAUGCGUAGAUAUCGGGAAGAACACCAGUGGCGAAGGCGCUCUGCUGGGCCAUAACUGACGCUCAUGGACGAAAGCCAGGGGAGCGAAAGGGAUUAGAUACCCCUGUAGUC